rnacentral:rRNA from 1 species
CCUACGGGUGGCUGCAGUGAGGAAUAUUGGUCAAUGGUCGGAAGCCUGAACCAGCCAAGUAGCGUGCAGGAGGAAGGCCCUGCGGGUUGUAGACUGCUUUUAUACGGGGAUAACGCGCCUUACUUGUAGGGCUUUGCGUGUACCCUAUGAAUAAGGACCGGCUAAUUCCGUGCCAGCAGCCGCGGUAAUACGGAAGGUCCGAGCGUUAUCCGGAUUUAUUGGGUUUAACGGGAGCGUAGGCCGCCUGUCAAGCUUGCUGGGAAAUGUCCGGGCUCAACCCCGGCCUGGCAGCGCGAACUGGGGGGCUUGAGUUGGGGGAAAGCAGGCGGAAU